rnacentral:lncRNA from 1 species
CACAUCGAAAAAGACAUAAAAUCCUCCAUCUCCCUAACACCUAUAAAAAGACCUACAUACCUCCUCUUUGGAAUAUCUCUCUCUCCACACCAUAAUUUUUGUAAGGGGCCCAUGUGACAGGCAGACAUACCCACCUUUUAGAUCUUUUUAGCCACCUUAUUCUCACUUUCUUCUAUCCUUCUAAUGCAUGAGAAGGAGAGUCGCCGGA